rnacentral:misc_RNA from 1 species
CAAGGAACUGACCAGCAGCCAUGCCAGUGGACCCCACAGCUCGAGCAAUCUCUGUAAUAACCCGGAGGACUCGAUCCUCGGGAACGAGAUCACUUGGAGUGUGGGACACAAUAUGCUGGAAACCAAGAGGGAACAACGCAUCCCCGGCUAAAAUUGCCAUAUCUACACCAAAAACUGUGUGAUUUGCAGGUAGACCUCGUCGAGUUGUGUCAUCAUCCAUGCAGGGCAAAUCAUCAUGAAUCAAUGAAGCAGCAUGAACCAUCUCUAAGGCACAGGCAGUGGGAAAGGCAGCAAGGCGAUUUCCUCCGAAAAGCUCACAAGCUGCGACACACAUGAUGGGUGGGGACCUUUUGGCACCCUUGGCCAGGACAGAGUAGCGCAUGGCCUCAUAAAUCUGAUUUGGGUACUUGACUGGAACUGCCUCAUCAAGUUUCUGGUUGAUAUCACUAAUUAGAGUUGUCCAAUAAGUCUUAAGAUCAAACUUGACGGACUCAGAUGCUGUCGAAACAGAAGAAGAGCAUUGGAUUGCUUUCUGCAUAACCAUGCGGCUCCUUGGAAGACAUAAACUAGGUGAAAAGCUCAUCACCAUGGAGAAAACCAUAAUUGAUCUCCGUUCCUCUCUUUCCUUAAUAGAUUCCUUUAACAGCAACGGGGAACUUGAUUCGCCGGUGAAUCUGCUCUCCGGCGCCGGCGAAAUCGGCUUAUCUACUCUCAGUUCUCAGUAAUUUCUAUCUAUUUAGUUCGGAUCUCAG